rnacentral:tRNA from 1 species
UCCUUCGUGGUGUAGUGGUCAGCACGCUCGAUGAGUAUUCGAGAGGUCCGUGGUUCGAGUCUCGGCGAAAGCA